GUGUUCACUUCAGCAACACAUAUUUCAAAAUUGGAAUGAUACAGAGAUUACCAUAGUCCCUGCUCAAAGACAACACUCAAAUUAGCAAAGCAAUCUAUAUUUUG